UACUCAGGUGAAUAUGAUAUGUUUGUGAUGUUACUCUGAGUGUAUAUCCACACCCGGCGAGCUUGAGCCCGGUGUGGAUAUACACUCAGAGUAACAUCACAAACAUAUCAUAUUCACCUGAGUA